UCUGAACCUGUUAUUAAAUUCUUUGACUUUCUCCAGAAUCGUCAGGUCAUGUCUGAACUUGUGAGUGAAACUUUCUUUGGAUAUCCAAAUAUUGAGGUCGCAUAUGAACCUGUUGAUUAAAAAUUCUUUGGUUUUCUAAUAUUCUUAGGUCAUGUUUGAGCCUAUUGUUGAAACGCUUUGAAUUUUCCAAUGCUGUUAGGCCAUGUAUGAGCCUGUUGAUGGAACUUUCUUUAUACGUUUUCCAGUAUUGUCAGGUCAUGUUUG
rnacentral:lncRNA from 1 species